UACGAAGGGGGCUAGCGUUGUUCGGAAUUACUGGGCGUAAAGCGCACGCAGGCGGCUUGUCUAGUCAGGAGUGAAAGCCCGGGGCUUAACCCCGGAAUAGCUCUUGAUACUGGCAGGCUUGAAUCACGGAGAGGGUAGUGGAAUUCCGAGUGUAGAGGUGAAAUUCGUAGAUAUUCGGAAGAACACCAGUGGCGAAGGCGACUACCUGGCCGUUGAUUGACGCUCAUGUGCGAAAGCGUGGGGAGCAAAC
rnacentral:rRNA from 1 species